GACGAACGCUGGCGGCGUGCUUAACACAUGCAAGUCGAACGGAAAGGCCCUGCUUUUGUGGGGUGCUCGAGUGGCGAACGGGUGAGUAACACGUGAGUAACCUGCCCUUGACUUUGGGAUAACUUCAGGAAACUGGGGCUAAUACCGGAUAGGAGCUCCUGCUGCAUGGUGGGGGUUGGAAAGUUUUGGCGGUUGGGGAUGGACUCGCGGCUUAUCAGCUUGUUGGUGGGGUAGUGGCUUACCAAGGCUUUGACGGGUAGCCGGCCUGAGAGGGUGACCGGCCACAUUGGGACUGAGAUACGGCCCAGACUCCUACGGGAGGCAGCAGUGGGGAAUAUUGCACAAUGGGCGGAAGCCUGAUGCGGCAACGCCGCGUGCGGGAUGACGGCCUUCGGGUUGUAAACCGCUUUCGCCUGUGACGAAGCGUGAGUGACGGUAAUGGGUAAAGAAGCACCGGCUAACUACGUG
rnacentral:rRNA from 1 species